rnacentral:rRNA from 1 species
AUUGAACGCUGGCGGCAUGCUUUACACAUGCAAGUCGAACGGCAGCGCGGGCUUCGGCCUGGCGGCGAGUGGCGAACGGGUGAGUAAUGCAUCGGAACGUGCCCAGUAGUGGGGGAUAGCCCGGCGAAAGCCGGAUUAAUACCGCAUACGACCUGAGGGUGAAAGCGGGGGACCGCAAGGCCUCGCGCUAUUGGAGCGGCCGAUGUCGGAUUAGCUAGUUGGUGGGGUAAAGGCUUACCAAGGCGACGAUCCGUAGCUGGUCUGAGAGGACGACCAGCCACACUGGGACUGAGACACGGCCCAGACUCCUACGGGAGGCAGCAGUGGGGAAUUUUGGACAAUGGGGGCAACCCUGAUCCAGCCAUGCCGCGUGAGGGAAGAAGGCCUUCGGGUUGUAAACCGCUUUUGUUCGGGAAGAAAUCCUCUGGGCUAAUACCCCGGGGGGAUGACGGUACCGGAAGAAUAAGCACCGGCUAACUACGUG